UGUGACCUCUGAACCUAAGUGUGGCUG
rnacentral:piRNA from 1 species